rnacentral:lncRNA from 1 species
GGCAGACGUACACACUAAGUAACUAUAGGCAGACAUAUACACUCUAAGUAACUAUAGGCAGACGUACACACUAAGUAACUAUAGGCAGACGUAUACACACUAAGUAACUAUAGGCAGACGUACACACUAAGUAACUAUAGGCAGACGUAUACACACUAAGUAACUAUAGGCAGACGUACACACUAAGUAACUUUAGGCAGACGUACACACUAAGUAACUAUAGGCAGACGUACACACUAAGUAACUAUAGGCAGACGUAUACACACUAAGUAACUAUAGGCAGACGUACACACUAAGUAACUAUAGGCAGACGUAUACACUCUAAGUAACUAUAGGCAGACGUACACACUAAGUAACUAUAGGCAGACGUACACACUCGAAGUAACUAUAGGCAGACGUAUACACUCUAAGUAACUAUAGGCAGACGUACACACUAAGUAACUAUAGGCAGACAUAUACACUCUAAGUAACUAUAGGCAGACGUACACACUAAGUAGCUAUAGGCAGACGUACACACUCUAAGUAACUAUAGGCAGACGUAUACACACUAAGUAACUAUAGGCAGACGUACACACUAAGUAAAGAUAGGCAGACGUACACACUAAGUAACUAUAGGCAGACGUAUACACACUAAGUAACUAUAGGUAGACGUACACACUAAAUAACUAUAGGCAGACGUAUACACACUAAGUAACUAUAGGCAGACGUGUACACACUAAGUAACUAUAGGCAGACGUACACACUAAGUAACUUUAGGCAGACGUACACACUAAGUAACUAUAGGAAGACGUACACACUAAGUAACUAUAGGCAGACGUACACACUAAGUAACUUUUGGCAGACGUAUACACACUAAGUAACUAUAGGCAGACGUACACACUAAGUAACUAUAGGCAGACGUAUACACACUAAGUAACUAUAGGCAGACGUACACACUAAGUAACUUUAGGCAGACGUAUACACACUAAGUAACUUUAGGCAGACGUACACACUAAGUAACUAUAGGCAGACGUAUACACACUAAGUAACUAUAGGCAGACGUAUACACACUAAGUAACUAUAGGCAGACGUACACACUAAGUAACUAUAGGCAGACGUAUACACACUAAGUAACUAUAGGCAGACGUACACACUAAGUAACUUUAGGCAGCCGUACACACUAAGUAUCUAUAGGCAGACGUAUACACACUAAGUAACUAUAGGCAGACGUACACACUAAGUAACUUUAGGCAGACGUAUACACACUAAGUAACUAUAGGCAGACGUACACACUAAGUAACUAUAGGCAGACGUAUACACACUAAGUAACUAUAGGCAGACGUACACACUAAGUAACUAUAGGCAGACGUAUACACUCUAAGUAACUAUAGGCAGAUGUGCACACUAAGUAACUAUAGGCAGACGUAUACACACUAAGUAACUAUAGGCAGACGUACACACUAAGUAACUAUAGGCAGACGUAUACACUCUAAGUAACUAUAGGCAGACGUAUACACUCUAAGUAACUAUAGGCAGACGUAUACACACUAAGUAACUAUAAUCAGACGUAUACACACUAAGUAACUAUAAGCAGACGUAUACACUCUAAGUAACUAUAGGCAGAUGUGCACACUAAGUAACUAUAGGCAGACGUAUACACACUAAGUAACUAUAGGUAGACGUACACACUAAGUAACUAUAGGCAGACGUAUACACACUAAGUAACUAUAGGCAGACGUACACACUAAGUAACUAUAGGCAGACGUAUACACUAAGUAACUUUAGGCAGACGUACACACUAAGUAACUAUAGGCAGACGUACACACUAAGUAACUAUAGGCAGACGUACACACUCAAAGUAACUAUAGGCAGACGUAUACACUCUAAGUAACUAUAGGCAGACGUACACACUAAGUAACUAUAGGCAGACGUACACACUCUAAGUAACUAUAGGCAGACGUAUACACACUAAGUAACUAUAGGCAGACGUACACACUAAGUAAAGAUAGGCAGACGUACACACUAAGUAACUAUAGGCAGACGUAUACACACUAAGUAACUAUAGGUAGACGUACACACUAAAUAACUAUAGGCAGACGUACACACUAAAUAACUAUAGGCAGACGUGUACACACUAAGUAACUAUAGGCAGACGUGUACACACUAAGUAACUAUAGGCAGACGUACACACUAAGUAACUUUAGGCAGACAUACACUCUAAGUAACUAUAUGCAGAUGUGCACACUAAGUAACUUUAGGCAGACGUAUACACACUAAGUAACUAUAGGCAGUCGUAUACACUCUAAGUAACUAUAGGCAGACGUAUACACACUAAGUAACUAUAUGCAGACGUAUACACUCUAAGUAACUAUAGGCAGACAUGUACACACUCUAAGUAACUAUAGGCAGACGUACACACUAAGUAACUAUAGGCAGACGUACACACUCAAAGUAACUAUAGGCAGACGUACACACUAAGUAACUAUAGGCAGACGUAUACACUCUAAGUAACUAUAGGCAGACGUACACACUAAGUAACUAUAGGCAGACGUACACACUCUAAGUAACUAUAGGCAGACGUAUACACACUAAGUAACUAUAGGCAGACGUACACACUAAGUAAAGAUAGGCAGACGUACACACUAAGUAACUAUAGGCAGACGUAUACACACUAAGUAACUAUAGGCAGACGUACACACUAAGUAACUAUAGGCAGACGUACACACUAAGUAAC